UACGUAGGUGGCAAGCGUUGUCCGGCAUUAUUGGGCGUACAGCGCGCGCAGGCGGUCCUUUAAGUCUGGUGUGAAAGCCCACGGCUCAACCGUGGAGGGUCAUUGGAAACUGGGGGACUUGAGUGCAGAAGAGGAAAGCGGAAUUCCACGUGUAGCGGUGAAAUGCGUAGAGAUGUGGAGGAACACCAGUGGCGAAGGCGGCUUUCUGGUCUGUAACUGACGCUGAGGCGCGAAAGCGUGGGGAGCAAACAGG
rnacentral:rRNA from 1 species